AGGGCCGAGCGUUGUCCGGAAUUAUUGGGCGAAAAGAGCUCGUAGGCGGCGUGUCGCGUCUGCUGUGAAAGACCGGGGCUUAACUCCGGUUCUGCAGUGGAUACGGGCAUGCUAGAGGUAGGUAGGGGAGACUGGAAUUCCUGGUGUAGCGGUGAAAUGCGCAGAUAUCAGGAGGAACACCGGUGGCGAAGGCGGCUCUGGGCCUUACCUGACGCUGAGGAGCGAAAGCAUGGGGAGCGAACAGGAUUAGAUACCCUGGUAGUCCAUGCCGUAAACGUUGGGCGCUAGGUGUGGGGACUUUCCACGGUUUCCGCGCCGUAGCUAACGCAUUAAGCGCCCCGCCUGGGGAGUACGGCCGCAAGGCUAAAACUCAAAGGAAUUGACGGGGCCCGCACAAGCGGCGAGCAUGUGGCCUAAUUCGACGCACGACGAAGAACCUACCAGGGCAU
rnacentral:rRNA from 1 species